AACGCUGAAACAUCGGUUCCCGUACAAUCACCGAAGUUAGGCAACGUCGAGCCUAGUCAGUACAUAGAUGGGUGAGCACUUGGGAAUACCAGGUGCUGUAA